rnacentral:tRNA from 3 species
UUAAUGAAGCAUUAUUUCGGAAG